GUGCCAGCCGCCGCGGUAAUACGGAGGGUGCAAGCGUUGUCCGGAAUCACUGGGCGUAAAGGGCGCGUAGGCGGCUCGGUAAGUAGGGGGUGAAAUCCUGCGGCUUAACCGCAGGGCUGCCUUCUAAACUGUCGAGCUCGAGCACGGUAGAGGCAGAUGGAAUUCCCGGUGUAGCGGUGGAAUGCGUAGAGAUCGGGAAGAACAUCAGUGGCGAAGGCGGUCUGCUGGGCCGUUGCUGACGCUGAGGCGCGACAGCGUGGGGAGCAAACAGGAUUAGAAACCCCCGUAGUCC
rnacentral:rRNA from 1 species